AUUGAACGCUGGCGGCAGGCCUAACACAUGCAAGUCGAACGAGUGGCGGACGGGUGAGUAAUGUCUGGGAAACUGCCUGAUGGAGGGGGAUAACUACUGGAAACGGUAGCUAAUACCGCAUACCUUCGGAUGUGCACAGAUGGGAUUAGCUAGGAGGUGGGGUAAAGGCUCACCUAGGCGACGAUCCCUAGCUGGUCUGAGAGGAUGACCAGCAACACUGGAACGGAGACACGGUCCAGACCCCAACGGGAGGCAGCAGUGGGGAUUUUUGGACAAUGGGCGCAAGCCUGAUGCAUCCAUGCCGCGUGUAGGAAGAAGGCCUUGGGGUUGUAAAGUACUUUCAGAGGGGAGGCGUUACCUGAAGAAGAAGCACCGGCUAACUCCGUGCCAGCAGCCGCGGUAAUUC
rnacentral:rRNA from 1 species